CCGCAGGUGACAUGGGUUUAUUCAAGCAACGCGCAGAACCUUACCAGCUCUUGACAUUCGGGGUAUGGGCAUUGGAGACGAUGUCCUUCAGUUAGGCUGGCCCCAGAACAGGUGCUGCAUGGCUGUCGUCAGCUCGUGUCGUGAGAUGUUGGGUUAAGUCCCGCAACGAGCGCAACCCUCGCCCUUAGUUGCCAGCAUUUAGUUGGGCACUCUAAAGUGACUGCCUGAGACAAGCCUUAAUUAUCUAGUGCAUGACACCAAUCCACUCAUUUACCAAUCCAGCUUUGUCUUCACCGUGAACAAAUUAUAAUUCGAAUUGAUACCCUAUCAUUGUUUCUCACCCCAUUCUGCUAUUAAUCGCUGGCACUAUAAAUUUUAUUUAUAACUGCAAUAAUCUAUACCAAUUUGCGUUCCAACUACCUCCCUUGUGUUGUAAUUUACAUACCCCACUACAUUUAUUUCCUCCGGAAUCAAAAAAAUUAUUUCCAAUAUAAUAGAGG
rnacentral:rRNA from 1 species